rnacentral:SRP_RNA from 1 species
GCUGGGUGGGUGGCGCGUGCCUGUAAUCCAAGUUACCGGAGGUUGAGACUGGUGGAUCGUUUGAGCUCAGGAUCUCUGAGCUGCAGUGGACUAUGUUGAUUGGGUGUCCCAAUAAGUUCGGUAUCGAUUAUGGUGCUCCUGGGGGAGGCCUGGGACCACCAGGUCGUCUAAGGAGGGUGCACCGGCCCAGGUCGGAAACGGAGCAGGCCAAAGCCCCCGUGCCGCUCAGUAUGGGAUCGCGCCUGUGAAUAGAGGCUGUAGUGAAGCCUGAGUAAUACAGCGGGACCCAGUCUUUU